rnacentral:rRNA from 1 species
GUGCCAGCCGCCGCGGUAAUACGGAGGAUCCAAGCGUUAUCCGGAAUCAUUGGGUUUAAAGGGUCCGCAGGCUGUUGUUUAAGUCAGAGGUGAAAGUUUGCAGCUCAACUGUAAAAUUGCCUUUGAUACUGGAUAACUUGAGUAAUAAUGAAGUGGUUAGAAUAUGUAGUGUAGCGGUGAAAUGCAUAGAUAUUACAUAGAAUACCGAUUGCGAAGGCAGAUCACUAAUUAUAUACUGACGCUGAUGGACGAAAGCGUGGGGAGCGAACAGGAUUAGAUACCCCUGUAGUCC